rnacentral:lncRNA from 1 species
UUUUUUUCCAAUGAGGCAUGGUGGCGGCACACACUGCCCUUUGGAGGCAGAAGGACCGGAAGUUCAAGGCCACCUUGUCUUAAAAUAAACGCAUAGAAAUCCCACAAGCUUUGGAAAUAGAAUAGAGGUUUUUGGUUUUUUUUUUGUUUGUUUGUUUGGAUAGAGUUUUUAAAGAAAGUUUAGAUGAGAUUCUACAUGAAGCACACAUUUUAAUGCUUCCCAUUUUAUACAUGUCUAAACUCGGAGAAGUUUAAACCUUAGCCUUAGUAAAUACGUCUUUAUAAGUCUACACCCACUGAUGG